CCUACGGGUGGCUGCAGUGAGGAAUAUUGGUCAAUGGGCGCGAGCCUGAACCAGCCACGUAGCGUGAAGGAUGACUGCCCUACGGGUUUUAAACUUCGUUUAUAAAGGAAUAAAGUGAGGCACGUGUGCCUUUUUGUAUGUACUUUAUGAAUACGGAUCGGCUAACUCCGUGCCAGCAGACGCGGUAAUACGAAGGAUCCGAGCGUUAUCCGGAUUUAUUGGGUUGAAAGGGAGCGGUGAUGGGUUGUUAAGUCAGUUGUGAAAGUUUGGGGCUCAACCGUAAAAUUGCAAUUGAUACUGGCAGUCUUGAGUAAAGUUGAGGUAGGCGGAAUUCGUGGUGUAGCGGUGAAAUGCUUAGAUAUCACGAAGAACUCCGAUUGCGAAGGCAGCUUACUAAGCUGCCACUGACAUUGAUGCUCGAAAGUGUGGGUAUCAAACAGGAUUAGAUACCCUAGUAGUC
rnacentral:rRNA from 1 species